AUGAUCACGUGAGAGAGCACGGGUGUUAUGGUCAGUUGCUAUUCUAUAUAUGAUUCUAGACAACGUAGGUGAUUUGUGGCUUGUUGCGGGCAGAAGUCAGCAGUAACUCUUUAACCAGUGUUGGAAGAAGACGUAUAGACCAGUGCGGUUGACCAGCGAGUGGUAAAUUCUCCUUCGGCUGCUGCAGCUCUCCAGCCCAGGGCGUUGACUGGCUAGUCUUCAAUUGCCUCCCAACAUGGUAAUGAGGUCCUGAGCUGAUGUGAUCUGUGGCGAAGAAAUAGUUGCCUGAAGUAGCGUAUGGCACCCUUUCUAACCAGCAGCUGGCACCAACUUUGGGCAACAUCAGAGUGGACAAGGCCCAGAUCCUGUGGGAGACCUUCUACACUAACAUGUUAAAGGUUGUGGAGGGUCCUUCGAAACAACUUCAGGAACAGCGUACAGAAAAAUUGCCUCUAGUGAUGCUACAGGAAGUAGCAUGUUGUAUGUCGGAAAUAUAGAGGGCAAAAAAUAUGGAUUGGAAGUCUAGAACGUCAUCCUAGACUUUGAAGGUGUUGAUUGUUUGACAUUCAGAAUCAGCCAAGUGGUAAAUAUUUAAACAUGUUUGCAUUGUAUUAAAUAUUGGUUUUAAACACUGUAGCAUUAUGGCUAA